GCCCCCGCUCCCCCGGGGCUUGUCGGCCCCGUGCGUGCGCACGCGCGCUGUCCCCCGGAGGCGUCUGGGUGUGCGGAGCGCGCGCGCGCGGCUCGGAGGCGCACCUGUGAGGUGUCCCUUGAGGAGAGGGAGGGUGGAUGCGCGGAGCCCGCGGCCUGGGGCGCUUCAACCCCUCACUUGGAAGCGCCCUGCGUCCCAGCAGAGCCCGCCGAGCAUCCUACUCAGGUGAUGAGGAACCCUUCGAGCACCCAGCGCAGAACGCCGCUGCCGCUGGACGCCUCCAUUGUUUGACCACAACAAGGGCCGGAUUCUCACCCAGACCUGCAAAUCCAAGAGAUACAUCUCUCUGGAAGAUAAGAGAGCUUCUUCCUCAAGAUCAGAAAAGGAGACUGGAAUGAGACCCAUGUAGGGAAUCCCCAGAAGGAAGGAUUGGCACACCUGGAACCCGAGGAGCUUGCUUCCUGGGAAGGCUCCUGUCUGAUGUGUAGGAGGCAGAAUGUCCUACUGACUCUUCAAGGGGAGGCUACAGGGGAUCGAGACCAACACGCAGUAUCUCACCAUCCACCACAGGGGACACUGUGCAGUCCUUUUUCUAGAAGUGGGAAGUACGAGAUUGUUCUACAAGAGGAAGAUUCCAGGGGCUUAAAAACGCAGAGGUUUGCACCUUGGGAGCCCCUUGGAAUGUUGACAACUCAGGAUCUAAAGGAAAGUUCCGUGUUAAUGAGUUACAGAAUUCAUGUGGAAGUAAAUGUCACUUUAUGAUCAAUAAUAAUACUGAGUGAGGAGCACUAUGCAGGAAGAAAUCUUCCAUAGAAAGACAGGCAGGGAGAAGCUUAGGCCAACCUUAGACCUACCUAAUAGAGCAAGCCUGAGAUAAACAGCCAGAAUGGCCAAAUAAGAGACUCUAUGAAAUAGCAAUCCUUUAACUAUAGUAGUCUUACAGAAAUUUUUUCCUCUAAAUCACGAUACCAAAUAGGAAAAAUGAUCUACAAGUGCCCCAUGUGUAGGGAAUUUUUCUCUGAGAGAGCAGAUCUUUUUAUGCAUCAGAAAAUUCACACUGCUGAGAAGCCCCAUAAAUGUGACAAGUGUGACAAGGGUUUCUUUCAUAUAUCAGAACUUCAUAUUCAUUGGAGAGACCACACAGGAGAGAAAGUCUAUAAAUGUGAUGAUUGUGGUAAGGAUUUUAGUACUACAACAAAACUUAACAGGCAUAAGAAAAUCCACACAGUGGAGAAGCCCUAUAAAUGCUAUGAGUGUGGCAAAGCCUUCAAUUGGAGCUCACAUCUUCAAAUUCACAUGAGAGUUCAUACAGGUGAGAAACCCUAUGUCUGUAGUGAGUGUGGAAGGGGCUUUAGUAAUAGUUCAAACCUUUGCAUGCAUCAGAGAGUCCAUACCGGAGAGAAACCCUUUAAAUGUGAAGAGUGUGGGAAGGCCUUCAGGCACACUUCUAGCCUCUGCAUGCAUCAGAGAGUUCACACAGGAGAGAAACCCUAUAAAUGUUAUGAGUGUGGGAAGGCCUUCAGCCAGAGCUCGAGCCUCUGCAUCCAUCAGAGAGUGCACACUGGGGAGAAACCCUAUAGAUGUUGUGGGUGUGGGAAGGCCUUCAGCCAGAGCUCAAGCCUCUGCAUCCACCAGAGAGUGCACACUGGGGAGAAACCUUUUAAAUGUGAUGAGUGUGGGAAGGCCUUCAGUCAGAGCACCAGCCUCUGCAUCCACCAGAGAGUGCACACAAAGGAGAGAAACCAUCUCAAAAUAUCAGUUAUAUAGAACGUUUUGCUACGAGUUAAAAAUCUUAAAACCCAUAAGUGCCACUAGGAAGGAAACCCUGUAAAUACCUACAUUGACCCAAGAAAUUUUUACAGCAAGCCCCAGCAGGACAUUCUUUUUGAAGAGGCAUAUGUGAGGUUGGUUGUUUUUUUGUUGUUGUUUUUUUUGUUUUGUUUUGUUUUGUUUUUGAUUCAUGCCAAGUGUGUUCCACAACUUGACUUUGAAUCUGGAAUCCCUCUGAGUGCCCAAGACGGGCUGUGAGGUCCCAGUCAUGGGUGUGUGUUUCCUGGGAUUUGGGCAUGAUACUUCAGUAGUGGGAAAUAUGGCACAGGAAACCAUGAUCAUUGCCCAGCCUCCUGCCCAGUCACCUGUCUAUGCUUUACCUAAAAGUUACCCCAGACAUCCCCCCUUCAGGAGCUCAUGCCCUUCCUUCUCUCGAUUCACGCAUACUGGUUAAUGCAUUUGAAAAUGGACAGCUCCCACAAAGACAGUGUUCUGGUAUUUCUGAGGUUAUCCCUUGGUUCAGCCCCCUACAUAUUAUUCCAUAGAUCCCAUUACUUCUGAGCCCACUUUACCUGUAUGUCCUCACAGUACCCGUAAAUAUCCACCCCUUCCUAGAUGGCAUUAAAUUUCAUUUUAGAUUUUAGGUGACUCAUAAUUUCCAUUCACUUGGCCCAUCAGAGAAAUCACUGGCAGACAUACAUGCCGUUGAACUUUUCUUGAACUUUUUUUUAAAUAUUGUGAAUUCUGCUAAUCACUGUGUCUCUAUGUUAGAUUUAAUUUUCUAGUGGCUACAUCACAUAUUUUUAACUUGAAUUUUUUGGAAAUAACUGAAUGUAAAUAGGGAGGAAGAUGCAACCAAGCAAAGUUGGAACUUUUCUCCAUCCAGAAUUGCCCUCUUGGGCUCCUUUUGUAGCACGUGGAACUCCUUAUUAGCUAGGGGAGACCAUAGGAGAAGCGGAUGGUGGGAGGAGUCACUAAUAAUAUUUAGUCUCUGUUUCUGUAAUUUUGGGCAAUAAUGCGUAGGAGUCCUCGAUACCUUCAUUGAGGAUCAUGUAUUCCUUCAUUUUUAGGCAUAUCUAUGUCACUCUCUCCUUUCCUUUCUUCAUUCAUUCAACAAGUAUUUAUUGAACACCUCCUAUGUGCCAGGCACUGUGCUAGGUGCUGGGAAUACCACUGAGUAAGACAGACAAAGGCCCUACUCUCAUGGAGUUUACUUCUGGUGGAGGAGACAGAUGAUACGCAAGUAAGCAAAUACAUAAUGUAGUUUGAGAUAGUAAUUAAGUGCUAUGAAGAAAAUAAACUAGGGUGAUGAUUUAGAGUGGGGGUGGGGUGGGGGUGGGGCAUCAUUAGACAGUGGUCAGGGAAGGCCUUUCUGAGGGGAGCACUGGAGUGGAGCGCACAAGGCUGGGAGCACCGGCUGGUUGGCCCUGCUGCCAUGUUUGUGCACUGGAAGGCGGCCAGGUGCUGGGGUGGAGCGAGCAGCAGGGAGGGGAAAGAUACUGAGUUGCUCAGUAUCCUGACGUUUAUAGGCCCUUUUUAUUCUUUUCUUUCUUUUGUUCUUUUUUUUUUUUUUUUUUGGUUUNUUUUUUUUUGUGGCUUGAUUGGUAUUAAAAACUCAUGUGGAAGAACUCAAGGAAUGUUUAGAAGACCAAAAGUCCCCAAUGACUAGAACAAAAAGCAACUAAUUUUUAACUUUGUUUCUCUUCUCAUUCCUGUUUCUCUUGAUUCCCACAUGUAAUCCUUAUGCUCAGGAAGUCUUGGGGGAAGUUAAGGAUCUUUGAAGCUCUGAAAUGGGUGAGCAGGUUCGUGGUGUCUGUCAACUGUCUAAAGAGGUUGGGAAAUGAAUUACCCGAAAAAGUCAUCGAAAUACUGAAACAAAGCUUGAUUUUCUCUUCAUAUUUGAAUUAAUUUCUUCUGUUUGACUGGAAGGGGUUUUUGAGUAACUAAAACCUCAAGGCAUAAAGGAGAUUUAAAAGGAGCACAUAAUUUUGUGGGUGGGCCAUGAAACUAGAGAUGGGGUUUGGGGAUAAUUGUGUCCCUCUCUGGAUUUUCAUCCAGACAGCUCUGAUCACAGCCUUUGGGAAGUCCCUUCUCCUGCGUGUCCUCCUUGCCCAGGAGAGGGACAGCCCAGUUCCUGGGUGAAGCCCCUUCCAGGCCUGAUGCCCUCGACUACGAUUUACUGUAGUGUCUUACCCUCGUCCAUGUCACGGUAGCCUGCGGCGUUAGAGAGCCGCCUAGACUUUUAGUUGGUAGAGAGACAGCUGAGAUAUCAUCGGUAGGAUUUUAGUUUUAGGAAAAGUCGGUUUGAUUUCUAGCUUUAUUACUAUUAGGUGUGUGAGCUUGGGCAGAUCGCCUAAUCGUUGAGUCUAGUUUUCUCACAAAAUGAGGACAUUAGGCUAAAUGAUUUCCAAGUUUCCAGCUAGUCCUAGAGUUCUAUAUUUCUACAUAGUUGAAUUAUUUUAUCAUGCUGUUGCUGGGGAAUAUGACUAACACUUUUGAAGCUACUAAUUUUAUGUCGAGCUUUAAAGUCCAUAAUUGUUAUCUUCGGAAAAUAUUAUUUGACCUACAGUAUGUCCAAAUCAAUUUAAUAAAAUCACUUUAUAACAGGG